CCUACGGGUGGCAGCAGUGGGGAAUAUUGGUCAAUGGGCGGAACCCUGAUCCAGCGACGCCGCGUGAGUGAAGACGUCUCUCUGUAUGUAAAGCUCCAUUUGUAGGGAAGAAAAUGACGGUACGUGAAUAAGAAUCCCCGGCUAAAUACGUGACAGCAGCCCCGGCAAUACGGAGGGGGCCGGCGUUAUCCGGAUUUACUGGGCGUAAAGGGAGCGUAGUCGGUUCAGCAGGUCUGAUGUGAAAGGUCGGGGCCCAACCCCGGAACUGCAUUUGAAACUGUUGAACUGGAGUACAGGAGAGGUAGGCGGAAUUCGUAGUGUAGCGGUGAAAUGCGUAGAUAUUAGGAAGAACACCAGUGGCGAAGGCAGCUUACUGGACUGUAACUGACGUUGAGGCUCGAAAGUGUGGGGAGCAAACAGGAUUAGAUACCCCAGUAGUC
rnacentral:rRNA from 1 species